rnacentral:rRNA from 1 species
ACAUAACAGACACCUUCGGGAAGAAGUUAAGUCGGAUUAGCGGCGGACGGGUGAGUAACACGUGAGUAACCUGCCUUUGACACGGGGAUAGCCACCGGAAACGGUGAUUAAUACCCGAUGAAAUCGUAAUGACACAUGUCAUAACGAUCAAAGUGAAUUAGCGGUCAAAGAUGGACUCGCGUCUGAUUAAUUAGUUGGUGAGGUAACGGCUCACCAAGAUAGCGAUCAGUAGCCGGCCUGAGAGGGUGAACGGCCACAUUGGAACUGAGAAACGGUCCAAACUCCUACGGGAGGCAGCAGUGGGGAAUAUUGCACAAUGGGGGAAACCCUGAUGCAGCGACGCCGCGUGAGCGAAGAAGGAUUUCGAUUCGUAAAGCUCUGUCCUAUGGGAAGAUAAUGACGGUACCAUAGGAGGAAGCCCCGGCUAACUACGUGCCAGCAGCCGCGGUAAUACGUAAGGGGGCGAGCGUUGUCCGGAAUCACUGGGCGUAAAGGGUUCGCAGGCGGUUUAAAAAGUCAAAUGUGAAAGGCAAGGCUCACCCUCGUAAGCAUUUGAAACUUCUAAACUUGAAUAGUGAAGAAGUAAGUGGAAUUCCUAGUGUACGGUGGAAAUGC